UGCCUUUGUGUUGCCCGUUCAUUGCUUUUUUCCCAAGUGAACGAGGUGUCAAACAAGGCAUACAGCAACUCUUGCAAGUGUAUUUCAUCUGGGUGCUUACCUUUGCACACUUGACUGUAUUUCUUGCAAGAACAAAU